rnacentral:rRNA from 1 species
UACGUAGGGUGCGAGCGUUAAUCGGAAUUACUGGGCGUAAGGCGUGCGCAGGCGGUGAUGUAAGACCGAUGUGAAAUCCCCGGGCUUAACCUGGGAACUGCAUUGGUGACUGCAUCGCUCGAGUAUGGCAGAGGGGGGUAGAAUUCCACGUGUAGCAGUGAAAUGCGUAGAGAUGUGGAGGAAUACCGAUGGCGAAGGCAGCCCCCUGGGUCAAUACUGACGCUCAUGCACGAAAGCGUGGGGAGCAAACAGG